CUCGCCCUCCGCCCCCACCGCCGGCCCCGACGCCUCCCUUCCACUUCACCUCCCUCUCCCUCCCUCAGAUCUGCCGCCGCCCUCUAAGCCACACCCCACUGCCCCCCCUCCACGGUGCUCGCGGCGCCGGCGUGCCGUCCGCCGCCCCACCCGGCGCCCCCCGCGACCCCACCGCCACGGCACGUUGGGUGAGAUCCCGGCCGCCGCUAGGCGCCAGACCCCUCCACGGCUCCACCCGCGCACCUCUCGGCGCUCGCGGCGUCGGCGCACCGUCCGUCGCCCCGCCCGACGGCUCCUGCAGAUCUCCGACGGCUCCGCCAUGGCGCCGUUGCCAUAAUCCCCGCAGGCUAGCCGCUUGGUCACUGGCGGGAUGAGGGACACGCUGAGGUCGCGCAAUGGGAACCAUCGUAGCCUAGGAACCCCGGAAGGUCAGGAUCCCCAGCCGGGGCAAGGAGGCCAGAAAGUCCAGACCACCUGCAGCGGACGGAGGCCAGGAUGUCGGCAUGACCAACCAUCAGGGAAUUGACUGACGAAGAAAGAGCCUCACGUGUUGUUUUCAGACAAAUUCGAACAACACCUCCUGUUCGAUCUAUUUGAAAAUAACUUUCAUGUUCUUGACUCUAGGGACAUCGCCAUUUGAAAGAUUAUGGGAAAAAUUCUUUGUGGAAUAAUUACAGUAGUAGAAUCUUGGCUUUGUCUGUCAGUUCAGCACAACAAGGAGCAGGGCUUGUGUUCAGUUUCAGUUUCAUGCUGCAACAUCGAUAGUUCUAAGUAGCUUGUUUGAUCAACUCUGAACUUGUCACAUGUUUACUUAUAACUGAAGAUCUCACGAAGCCGCGGGCGAUGCCCCACCCCCCUCCCGGCCUCCUUUCUUCUUCAUGCAAUUCUGUGUGAUCUUCCUUACUGCAGUGCUGCUCUUCUUUGCGGUUCAGGGUGAUUCAUGAAGCUCCAAGGAAUACAUAUCAUUCAUCCCUAUGCGCAGCUAGCCUUGCAAGUCACGCAUCAAUAGCGUGCACAACACAAAGGCAAGCGUUCCAACGCUUGUUGGCGGCGCUCCUGUGGAAGUAAGGAGAUGAAAAAAUGGGAUGAACCAGCUCAUGCAUGCAUCAUGGUGUCGUUGCGAUCACAUGUUAUAUGCCGAUGCAAGGUUAAGUACGUGGGAGAUGACGGGGAGGAGCAGAACGGCUUGCAGAUGACGGGCCUGAAUCUCAUGGACAAGACGAUGACCGUCCGGGGAGCUAGGAUUGCCUCUUCAGGUUAUGCAAACAUGAAUGGAUGCUGUUUUUGGUAGAUGCUGUUCAUGCUAACAUGAAUGGAUGCUGGACCAUAUUGUUUGUAGGCAGUAAAGGUUGUUGAUCUGAUAGAUAUUAGGCUAUAUUGUAUUGUCGAUCUGUUAGAUGUUUGCUAUAUUGUAUUAUGUCUACCAGAGACGAAUUUGAAAAAAUUCAAUUUUUGCUACAUUGGAUUUGGUUUGAUACAAAUUGUGUUGCCAUAGAA